rnacentral:tRNA from 1 species
GGAGAGUACUGCUCAGUGGUAGAGUGCAUGCUUUGCUUGCAUGAGGUCCUGGGCUCAAUCCCCAGUACCUCCA